rnacentral:rRNA from 1 species
AAGUGGAGCAAUCCAUGAGUAAAGUGGCGCACGGGUGAGUAACACGUGACUAACCUACCCUCGAGUGGGGAAUAACCUCGGGAAACCGGGGCUAAUACCGCAUAACAUCGCAAGAUCAAAGCAGUAAUGCGCUUGAGGAGGGGGUCGCGGCUGAUUAGCUAGUUGGUAAGGUAAUGGCUUACCAAGGCGAAGAUCGGUAUCCGGCCUGAGAGGGCGCACGGACACACUGGAACUGAAACACGGUCCAGACUCCUACGGGAGGCAGCAGUGGGGAAUUUUGCGCAAUGGGGGAAACCCUGACGCAGCAACGCCGCGUGGAGGAUGAAGCCCUUUGGG